UACGGAGGGUGCAAGCGUUAUCCGGAUUCACUGGGUUUAAAGGGUGCGUAGGCGGCCCGGUAAGUCAGUGGUGAAAGCUCCCAGCUUAACUGGGAAACUGCCAUUGAAACUGCCAGGCUUGAAUACAGUUGAAGUAGGCGGAAUACAACAUGUAGCGGUGAAAUGCUUAGAUAUGUUGUAGAACACCGAUUGCGAAGGCAGCUUACUAAGCUGUGAUUGACGCUGAGGCACGAAAGCGUGGGGAGCGAAC
rnacentral:rRNA from 1 species